CGGGUAGACGAAUUGGCCCCGAUUUAAGUCCAGUUCUAAAGUAAAUAAGGAAUUAAAAUG
rnacentral:sRNA from 12 species